AUGGGCAUCCUUUCCCCAAUUCGCAACAGAGCUGCUUGUCUGUGUGUCAGCUUCUAUGCUGAUGAUGCAGCUUUGUUCAUUAAUCCUAAGCAAGAGGACAUUGUGGGGGUGCAGGCCAUUCUUUCAAGGUUUGGUGACAUCUCUGGGUUGCAAACGAACCUGCUCAAGAUUGUCGCUUACCCCAUUAGAUGCGAGCAAAUUGAUAUGCCUAGCUUGUUGGCUGACUUUGGGGGUAUCCCUGGAAACCUCCCUUGCACCUACCUAGGCUUGCCUCUGAGUAUUAGGAAACCAACCCGGGCUGAAUUGCAGCCUACCUUGGAUAAACUUGCUGGGCGAUUGCAGCCAUGGAAAGGGAAGCUCAUGACCAAGCUGGGACGGUGCUUGCUUGUAAAUUCUGUCCUCACAGCAACUCUCACGUACAUCCUUACCUCCUUUGAUCUGAGUGCUUGGUUCAUUAAGAGGAUUGACAAGCUGAGGCGGGGCUUUUUGUGGGCUGGCGAAGAGGUUGCCCAUGGAGGGAAAUGCAUGGUGUCCUGGAAAAAAGUGUGUGCUCUGAAGUUGACUGGGGGCCUCGGUAUCAAGGACUUAAAAUGUUUUGGUAGAGCUCUUCGCUUGCGCUGGCUGUGGAUGGAGUGGGACUAUGUUCAGAGACCAUGGAAGGGGACUCCGGUGCCUUGUGACGACUCUGAUAGGGCACUUUUCCAGGCUUGCACUAAGAUCACCAUCGGGGAUGGGUGCUCGGCCAAGUUUUGGAAGGAUAGAUGGCUGGACGGCGAGUCCCCGGCUAUGAUAGCUCCUUUGAUGUUCAGAUUGGCCUUAAAGAAAAACAGCUUGGUUAAAGACGCCUUGCACAAUGGUUGCUGGAUGAGAGGAUUAAUGCGCAUGAACUCUCACGAGGAAAUCCACCAAUUCUUGGGACUUUGGGAGAAGGUCCAAAAUGUGCAACUAUCAACCUCCAGAGAUAGCAUUGCCUGGCAUCUGUCGGCUGAUGGUUCGUACUCGGCCAAAUCUGCGUACCACGCACAGUUCCUUGGGCGCUUGCACCAACCAGAGCUGGCCAGUGUUUGGAAGGUGAAAACGGAUAGGAAAAUAAGGUUUUUCCUUUGGCUUCUGCUUCAGAACAGAAACUGGACUGCGGACAGAUUGCUUUUGCGCGGAUGGCCACAUGAUCCAAAGUGUAAACUAUGUGACUUGGUGAUUGAAACGGCGGCACAUCUCUCUUUUCAGUGCCCUUAUGUGAGGCAGGUGUGGCUUUCGCUGAGCGCUACUCAUGCUGACCUCACAGCUACAGCGUUGGCUGCCUCCUCGGUGAACUCCUGGUGGGGCGCUUUGCUCCAGCUCAAGCCCAACAAAACAAGGAACAACUCGCUCUCCAUGGCAUCUUUCGCUCUUUGGAACAUCUGGCUGGAAAGGAACAGAAGAACCUUCGAUGGAAAGUGCACUUCGGCAGCUGAUGUUGCCAGGCUUGCUAGUGAUGACUUUCACCUCUUAGUUGAGGCAUGUGGGGGUUAG
rnacentral:rRNA from 1 species